rnacentral:rRNA from 1 species
AUACGAAGGGGGCUAGCGUUGUUCGGAAUAACUGGGCGUAAAGCGCACGUAGGCGGAAUGUUAAGUUAGAGGUGAAAUCCCAGGGCUCAACCCUGGAACUGCCUUUAAUACUGGCAAUCUAGAGAUCGAGAGAGGUGAGUGGAAUUCCGAGUGUAGAGGUGAAAUUCGUAGAAAUUCGGAGGAACACCAGUGGCGAAGGCGGCUCACUGGCUCGAUACUGACGCUGAGGUGCGAAAGCGUGGGGAGCAAACAGGAUUAGAAACCCCAGUAGUCC